GCCGAGAUAGCUCAGCGGUAGAGCAACUGUUUUGUAAACAGUAGGUCCAGGGUUCAAAUCCCUGUCUCGGCUCCA
rnacentral:tRNA from 1 species